rnacentral:rRNA from 1 species
UACGUAGGGUGCAAGCGUUAAUCGGAAUUACUGGGCGUAAAGCGUGCGCAGGCGGUCUUGCAAGACAGGUGUGAAAUCCCCGGGCUUAACCUGGGAACUGCACUUGUGACUGCAAGGCUGGAGUACGGCAGAGGGGGAUGGAAUUCCGCGUGUAGCAGUGAAAUGCGUAGAGAUGUGGAGGAACACCGAUGGCGAAGGCAGCCCCCUGGGCUAACACUGACGCUCAUGCACGAAAGCGUGGGGAGCAAACAGG